GACAAAUCAUAUUUUGUAGCGGACUCACAAUAUUUUUUUCCCUUUAUAUAAUCUGGCUAUUCUUUACUCUUUUUAUAGUUCUAUGUGGGAAAUCGCUUUAAAAGUGGAAGAAAAUAUUGCUAUGUUGAACCUAGCCCGAAGAGAUCCAGCUAAUCAUUCUGUGUUGAUUUCAUAUUGAAUCCUUUCACCGCGUUCACCGCCAUUCACCGCAUA
rnacentral:lncRNA from 1 species